rnacentral:lncRNA from 1 species
UCUGUGCUUCAGUUUCCCCAACUGGAGAUAAUAGCAAGGCCAACCUCAUCUGGUUGUUGUGAGGAUUAAAUCCAUCACCUAAUGAGAAGCUUCCUGAAGGGGCUCAGCCCAACAUCCCCCGCCCAUCUCUGGGAGGACCCCCAGAUGGCAUCAGCCACAACAUUGCUCGGAAAAUGUCUCCCGUCCACAGGUCCCUCCUGACCAGCUCUUCUCCCCAACAAGAUCGUGUGCCCCUUGGGAAGCCACCUGGUCAGCAUUUUCACAGAUGCUUGCAAAGCUCCUAUGGCCAGGUGGAAAUGAGGACAAAGACCCUGAGAGACAGGAAGAAGGAGACCGAGACAGAGGAAGCGGGCGGUGGCGGAACAGAGAGAAAUAAGCGGAUAUGAAGAGACAACAGGGCUGGAGAGACACGGGGAGAGUGACAGUGACAGAGAUGGAGAGAGCAGAAACCAAAACUCAGACAGAUCUGACUCCCGCAUCGCCUUCCGUAACGUGAGCCUCCAUAACCAUCAAAAUCACAGGGUUG